UAUUCUGCCCCAUGGGGAAGGAUGAGAAGCUUCGACUAAGGUUCGACUCGAGCGAAGCGAGAGAACGUUGCCG
rnacentral:sRNA from 1 species